ensembl:lncRNA
CUACAAUGGCUCUUAAUUGCCUUUCGAAUCUAAUUAAAACUUCUUCAAGACCCUCUUCUAAUUAACUCCAUAGGAGGCUCCCUUAGCGGCCAUCUCAAGCCGGGUGCCUCCUGUGCUCUGGCCCAGCGACCAAACCAGCUACUUCCUUUUCCUGCUUCCGCUCCUCUCCUUGGGCCAAUCUCCUCCUACCUAGAGGGACCAUUUUUUUCUUUUUAUCUGCCAAAGCACUCUGUUUUUUUUAACAGAAAGAGUGCUAAAUUACCUUUCCCUCCCAACUUUGAUUACUCCAACUAAGGAUCCUAAUCGGUGAAACGUGGGUGUGUUCUUUUGGAAAUGCGUGUGUUUUCACGUCCAGGCAUAAGCAACGCCUUGUUUCAGGGAGCAGCGCCCACACAUUGGUUCAGGACUCCAUGCGUUUGGUAGAAGGCUUGCGGGCUUGGGGCUAGUGUUUUGGUUUUUCUUGCAAACAGUGACGGCUCAUCUAGUGUGCAGUCCUUGGUUCCCGCCCGGAGACUUCCCCGUUCCGCCUUCUCUUCUCUUCCUCGCCCGCAAGGCGCGCUGCCCCUGGGGUUUUCAGCAACUUCCGCAGACCCUCCGCCCGCAUCCCGGCGCGGCGGGGCCGGGGAAGCCCCAGGGCUCCCCAAGCGUUCAGAAGGAAACCAUCUAGGCUACAGACCUUGGAGCGCGGCUGGGGUCCCCCGGGAGCGGAUCGCGGGUCGCGCAGGUCAUUUCCCGGCGGGAACACCACCUCGUCUGAGCUGGGCGGCUUCUCCCGGUCCCCGGCUGCAGGAUGCUGGGCCCCCCGCUGCUCCCUUCCGCGUGGCGGCUCGGGCCGCCAACCGAUCGCCUCUUGCCUCCCCCACUUGAACUCCUGGGGAGACAGUGUUUGUAAAACUUGGCCCUGGCCCAGCCCCGUCCGCCCCACUUUGCCAACAAGAAGAGGGAGGGCAGCUCUGAGCGGCCUCGGGCGAACCUCGCCCCGCCUGCACUUAAGGCGCCGGGCCCAGCCCGCGCCUUCGGGUCUCCAGCCGGGACAGGCGCGCGGACUCCGCUUUGCCAGGGUGCGACCCUCACCUGGGAUUCCAGCUCUGGUGAGGCCCGGCGUCACCGGGAACCUCUGUCCCUACCCGGCUGCGCGCCCCACGGGGGCCUUCUGGCGCUGGCACAGGGAGGGACUGGCCGGGCUACUCCCUAAGGUGGUGGAAGGGACCUGAGGGUGGUGGCAGGACUCUCUGAGUCGGAUGGGACCCCCCUGAACGGCGGAGUGGGAGAUCGGCUUCCGACACAGCCUCUCCGGGCAACUCCGGAAUGUCGCAGAGCUCCUGAUGGAUGCAAACUGUCUUUAUUUGCAAGCCUAGUGACUGGAUGUGGCCCUCAAGCUUUGGACCUCUCUACAGGUGGGAGGCCUGCAUCGAUUCAGGAUGAGCUGCUGGUGUUUUCUUGCAGUUGCCUCCUCUGCCCUCUUCUCUUGGGGCUCCUUCUUCCACGAUUGCCUCUAUCAAGCAGAAAACCGUGUCCUGGGCCCAACUUUGCAGAGACAAACGGAAAAGCUGCGCAGGCAGAAAGCUAGGAGAUUCACUGCCCCUGGACCCUCGACCCUUAGUCACCUCUGUGCCCCCAUGGCAUCUAUGCCCGGGCCAAGCGCGCCCCCGGAGAGACCUCGCCAACUCAGCGCGACUACAACUUCCCCGGGGGCGGCGGUCGCACCCUGGGCAUCUGCCCUCGUUCUCCUGACCAUCAGAUCUCCUCUCGCCAGAUAACCAGAUCUGCCUGUCGUCUACCCUCUCUCGGCCUCCCAGGAUCUGCCUGGACAAGGAGUGUGCUGGAAUGGCCCAGAAGGUCUGGGCUGUUCAACCUCCCCCUAAAGGGUUGGGGCGUCCGCCUCUGGAGCCUCAGAGAAUCUCCAUGUCUGGCGAAAACACUUAGAGGUAGUUCUGCAUCCCUCAGCGAAGGCCAGGGCUGGAAUCGGGAGAAAGCGGGGCUCCUCUCCCUUCUGUCCCCCAACCGGCCAGCCGGAGGGGGAUGAGGGGAGCAAACCAGGUCUACCUUUCCAAGCUGGGCUCUCCGAGGUAGGGGGCGCGCAGCCGGGCUGCCGUGUCUCCCGGGCGCCAAGCCGAGACCCGCGCGCAGGACACUAGUCCGCCUGGCUCAGUCGUUGUAACAACUUGGAAGGAAUAUUGUUAGGAGAGCAAACAAAUAAACACAAAGUUGUUAAUGUCAAAUCAUUCUCUCCAGAAUCCAGUGCUGUGGAACACAAAAUUCCUCGGACGGAAUGAGAUUUCUUAAGAGCAGGACGGAGGACUCCCAACACUUUGCACAAGGAUUUGCCCAAACAGUAGAGCCCAGUAAUUCACAAUGGCUGAUUUUACAAGCCCGCAAGAAACUUUUUUUUUCCCACUCUGCUGCCGAACUUUGGCCAUAUUUAGUUGUGCGUGGCUUUUUUCUUUCUUUCUUUUUGAACAACAAACCCAGAGGAAACACUGGUGGGAGGAAAAAUACAUGCUCCAAAUCAAAAUGGAUGCAGAUUCAAAUUUACUCCACCGCGAGGUUUCCUAUCACCGUCGUUCUGCACACUGAGAGUUAAUCGUAUACAAUUUAU